rnacentral:lncRNA from 1 species
UAUCCACAUGAAGAAUCUACUGAUCUUCAGGAUCAGGGUUCAUAUUUAUUUAUUCCUCUAGCACUAUUGAGCUACCUUCCGCAGCCAUUGAUUCCUCCUCAUCAAGGAUGGUGCAAUCAAGGAUGAAGUCCACCAAGACCUAAGCUUUAAUUGAAGGCCUUGGAUGGAGCUUUAAUUGAUGACCUGAGCUUUAUUCAGAUCAGUGA